rnacentral:rRNA from 1 species
AACGAACGCUGGCGGCAUGCCUAACACAUGCAAGUCGAACGAGACCUUCGGGUCUAGUGGCGCACGGGUGCGUAACGCGUGGGAACCUGCCCUUAGGUUCGGAAUAACUCCCCGAAAGGGGUGCUAAUACCGGAUAAUGUCUUCGGACCAAAGAUUUAGCGCCUUUGGAUGGGCCCGCGUUGGAUUAGCUAGUUGGUAGGGUAAAAGCCUACCAAGGCGACGAUCCAUAGCUGGUCUGAGAGGAUGAUCAGCCACACUGGGACUGAGACACGGCCCAGACUCCUACGGGAGGCAGCAGUGGGGAAUAUUGGACAAUGGGCGAAAGCCUGAUCCAGCAAUGCCGCGUGAGUGAUGAAGGCCUUAGGGUUGUAAAGCUCUUUUACCCGGGAUGAUAAUGACAGUACCGGGAGAAUAAGCUCCGGCUAACUCCGUG